GACCUUGCUCAGGUCACGUUCUGAGCCUGCUUCUCACUCCUGCCCCCUCCCACCCUCCUGGUUCUGCCAUGGACAAGCUGAAGUCUCUCUGAGACCAGGGGACCCGCAUGGCCCAGCCACCCCACCCCACCAUCUCCCAGGCAUGUGAGAAAAUAUCACAUUCUCUGUGUUUUGGAGAUUUCUUCUAAAUGUAUUUUCCAACUAUCAUUUCAUAGCAAAUCAGCGAGAAAAAAGGGGCUUCCUGGAGCUCCUGCAACCCCAGGCAUUAGUUCCGGUGCAGUUCUAGGAUCAGAUCAAUUCACUCGACAACAAGAGAAACAAAUGGAGAUUCCUACACAAAGACUUUCAAGCACAAAGAAAUCCUGCUGCCUGUAAAGCGGAGCUGCCUCAGCCCUUGAUGAACGACAGAAAAUACCACCUACUGCCAGACCUCAACGCCUCACAAAACUCUCACCCACCUACUGCUUUUAGCUCACAUUCCAGGAAUUCAGAUGAAGUGAAGUGCUCUCAUGGGGACCAGGCAUGGUUAUGCCAGUCCACUGCCCUGCAAGCCUCAAGGGAAGCCAACUGCCCUUCAGCAAGUCACACCUGCCUUGGUGGAGGCCUUGAUUGGAAGUGCCACACGCUACAUGUCCAGUCCUGAGCGGGAGAAUCGGUGUAGGGACGUUCUGGGGAUGCCAGCUGUGGCCAGAUCAGGUCCAACUACAGAAGAAUAAUGAAGACUCCACCUGAGGGCUGGAAAAACAAAACCUCAAGUGUGAGGCAGCCAACCUGUUACCUCGAGGGACUGUUCCGCAGCACAGCGGGGCCAUGGGAACAGCAGCAGACACCCCGACCUCCUCGCUACCUGUGUGUGUAUUAACACGCCGG
rnacentral:lncRNA from 1 species